AGAGAUAAGAUUGGAAUCGGAGAUGGGUUUUUUUAGGAUUUGCAGUAACAUGCUUUGAUGUUCUUGCUUGGUAUUGUAUUAACUUCUUCUUCUUCUUCUUCAUUUUUUUUUUUUCACCACAAAAUGAGAAAAUUUUGGAAGAAAUUAGUAAUUUUUUUUUUUUUUUUUUUAAUCCUACAAACAAAUUAAUCUGCUUUUGUUUAUCUAUUUCCAUUUUCCUUUCGAAGACCCAAAAUUUCAUGUUAGAUGCUCUGUGAUCCUUUUGGACUUGAUUUGCUGCUCUUUAUUUCAUUUCAAGUUCAUGCUCAGUAUUAUAUAUAUAAUAUUGCAAAGUAUGUGUGUAUAAUCAAUUUAUUAUAUAUAUAAUAUUGCUGGUAUAGUUAUUACAUCCUUCUUGCUGCACUCAAUUUAUUUACCUGAGCCUUGUAUCUCAUUAAUUGAGUUACCUUCUAAGCUCUGAAGAGCUUUGCAAUGCAGGUUUUUUCAAUUUUUUAAUUUUUUAUGUCCACACGCGAAUAUGUUUCUUGUAUCAUGGGACUGUUUACGAAGAGAUGAGAAAAUGUGGUAUAAAAAUCUUACAUACAUACCUAUAUUAUUUAUCAAAAUCUACAAAAAGGUAAUACCGUAAUUUCAUUAUUAUUCUUUCAUUUUUUUUUUCUCCAUUUUAUCCAAACAGUAAUAUUAUGUUUUCCUUUUUUAUCUUUUCUAUUUAUUCCAAACAUUAUAAUUACCAUUUCUGUUUUUUUUCUUUUCCUCCCUAAUCUUUUCUUUUCUCUCCUCCUUAUCCAAACAAAGAUCAAGCCCCUUAGCUUGCCCUUCCCAUAUCUCUCUAACCCUUAUAACCCUAGCUGCCUCACUCUUCCCCCAUCACCCCUCACCUCUCAUAUCUCAACACAACACCGAGCACCACACUACCAUCACCAGCUCCGGCCGAAUCAAACCCACCCCAACCUCAGGCCACCGUCUCUAACAUUUCAAGCGCAACUUACAGUCACCGAGUUCUUUAUUUCUAGCUAUUUUUUUUUUUUUUUUUUUCCUGGGUUCUGGGUUCUCUUCCGGCGAGCUUGUGAAUCGCUAUUUUUUUUUUUCGGCGAUAUUUAGGCUGGGUUCUCUCCAGCGAUUGCAGUUGGGUUCUUUUCCGGAUCGCGGCUGUUCAUCUUCUCCGGCGUUGCGGCUGGUACUUCAAACGGCGACUGGCUGUUUUCUCCAGCGAUUUUGGCUGGAUUUUGGCUGGUUCUUCUCCAGCGAUCGCGGCUCUCUUCCCGGCGAUUUGGACUGGGUUCUUCUCCAGCGAUUUUGUGGUUCACCGUUCUUCUACUCGAAGGUUAAAUAAGGUUCAAACAAACUAAUUUUGGUUCACUAAAGCCUUUUUGGAGUCAAGCAAAGACAUUCAGAAAAAGUUCAGAAAAUAGCAAAAAGAUGUCACAGCCUAUUGCUCGUAUAGUGUGUUUAUUCUUCAAAAACGGUCAAUUUUGGGCCUUUAAUGAUGUUUCCAAAGAUAAAUAAGCAAAUCAAUUAGCCCGGGGCCAAAAUGGAACUAAAUAAGGCUUAAAGGAAAUUUCUAACUCUAGGGGAUUGAUCCCCUACUAUUCACAGAACUAAAAAUACCCUUGGGGGAUCGAUCGCCAAGGCUGAGGGAUCGAUCCCCCAACACCUGGCAGCAUUGCGGGAUUGAUGUUUACUUGGUUAUGAGAUUUUGUUUUUUGAGCUUAUUUUUGUAACUUAUAGGCUUUAAUAAGAUUUGUUACUUAAGGCCCAAUGAAUCAUUAGUUUAUGAUUAGUUGUUAUUUUAAUUAAAAGAGUUUUAUUUUAUAAUGAUAAGUUGGAUUUUACGGAAAAAAAUAUCACGUUCUCUCUGGUGAAAGAGGCGAGGGUUAGAAGAGAGGGAAGAGUGGAGGCAUAAGGUUUAGGAAGAACAUCUACACACUCAUCUCUCUAGAGCUUCAAGGAAGAAGAAGAAGGAGCAAAGCAUGGAGGAGGAUCUUGUUGACACCUUGACCACCACAACCAUGAUGGGCUAGAUCUCCACUUAGGGCUUAGUUAAACCCUAAGUUUAUGUAUUUUUAAACCCUUAUAUUUCUAUUUUUAGGGAGAUUAAUAUAUUGUUGUAUUUGAUGUUAUGACUUUGUGAUUCUUAUUUGCAUGCUAGAUUUGACAAAUCAUGGCUUGUGUUGGUUUAAUUCUUCGAUUAACUCUAUAUGUUAACUAUAUGUCUAUAUAUAAUUAAUCUAGGGUUAUGCUUUUGAUUA